rnacentral:lncRNA from 1 species
UACUCAGUAGAUGUCAGAAGCAAGUUGCCCACUGCAGCCUAUCUGAUCUCAAAGCCCAGUGUGUCUACGCUGUGCAAGAACUUCCAUGAAAAUAAACUUUGGCAAUGGUAAGUUAAAUACGGGAGACUGAGGAGCCAAACAUCACUGAGGGUUGAGAAGCAGAAAAUGAAAUAUGAUACACCCCAGAGCAACUGUGGGCAGCUUCAUUCGCAGAAUAAACGGGAGGCAAACUGCAAAGCAGCACACUGGUUACCAAAAGUAUUUGGGCCUUUUAAAAUGUCAGCCACAAUGAUCAUGAAUCACUCUUUUUAAAGUUCUUAAUCCAGACUAACCUCCUUUUUCCCCCCAGUUCCCUUCUGAUUCACUGAGUCCCCUCGACUUGCCUGAAUCACACGUCCCAAGUUGCAGAACUCAGGCCUACCAGAUCCCAUGGGAAAAUUGUCUCUCAGGGGAGAGAAUGGUUAAAUGUCCCAAAGUCUGCUUGUAGAGGAGGGAAAACUUGAUAUCUAGGUGAUGAUGCAGUUGAAAACUCAAAUAGGCUGGGCCUAGUCCCAACUAGGUUCCAAAUUCAUCCCUUCCUGUAGGUUCCAGGCCCAACACAAAGAAUGCAAUGCUUACACAGCAGCCCUACCUGGGCUGGGGUAGAGUGCUCGCCGAGCGUGUGUGAGGCCCUGGGUUCCAUC